rnacentral:rRNA from 1 species
AGAGUUUGAUCCUGGCUCAGGAUGAACGCUAGCUACAGGCUUAACACAUGCAAGUCGAGGGGCAGCAUGGUCUUAGCUUGCUAAGGCCGAUGGCGACCGGCGCACGGGUGAGUAACGCGUAUCCAACCUGCCUUACACUCUUGGACAGCCUUCUGAAAGGGAGAUUAAUACAAGAUGUUAUCAUGAGUAAGCAUUUUCGCAUGAUUAAAGGUUUACCGGUGUAAGAUGGGGAUGCGUUCCAUUAGAUAGUAGGCGGGGUAACGGCCCACCUAGUCUUCGAUGGAUAGGGGUUCUGAGAGGAAGGUCCCCCACAUUGGAACUGAGACACGGUCCAAACUCCUACGGGAGGCAGCAGUGAGGAAUAUUGGUCAAUGGACGAGAGUCUGAACCAGCCAAGUAGCGUGAAGGAUGAAGGCUCUAUGGAUUGUAAACUUCUUUUAUACGGGAAUAAACGGAUCCACGCGUGGAUUUUUGCAUGUACCGUAUGAAUAAGGAUCGGCUAACUCCGUGCCAGCAGCCGCGGUAAUACGGAGGAUCCGAGCGUUAUCCGGAUUUAUUGGGUUUAAAGGGAGCGUAGAUGGGUUGUUAAGUCAGUUGUGAAAGUUUGCGGCUCAACCGUAAAAUUGCAAUUGAUACUGGCAGUCUUGAGUACAGUUGAGGUAGGCGGAAUUCGUGGUGUAGCGGUGAAAUGCUUAGAUAUCACGAAGAACUCCGAUUGCGAAGGCAGCUUACUAACCUGUAACUGACAUUGAUGCUCGAAAGUGUGGGUAUCAAACAGGAUUAGAUACCCUGGUAGUCCACACGGUAAACGAUGAAUACUCGCUGUAGGCGAUAUACAGUCUGCGGCCAAGCGAAAGCAUUAAGUAUUCCACCUGGGGAGUACGCCGGCAACGGUGAAACUCAAAGGAAUUGACGGGGGCCCGCACAAGCGGAGGAACAUGUGGUUUAAUUCGAUGAUACGCGAGGAACCUUACCCGGGCUUAAAUUGCAACCGAAUAUGGCGGAAACGCUAUAGCUAGCAAUAGCGGUUGUGAAGGUGCUGCAUGGUUGUCGUCAGCUCGUGCCGUGAGGUGUCGGCUUAAGUGCCAUAACGAGCGCAACCCUUGCCGAUAGUUACUAACAGGUUAUGCUGAGGACUCUGUCGGGACUGCCAUCGUAAGAUGUGAGGAAGGUGGGGAUGACGUCAAAUCAGCACGGCCCUUACGUCCGGGGCUACACACGUGUUACAAUGGGGGGUACAGAGGGCUGCUACCACGCAAGUGGAUGCCAAUCCCAAAAACCUCUCUCAGUUCGGAUUGAAGUCUGCAACCCGACUUCAUGAAGCUGGAUUCGCUAGUAAUCGCGCAUCAGCCACGGCGCGGUGAAUACGUUCCCGGGCCUUGUACACACCGCCCGUCAAGCCAUGGGAGCCGGGGGUACCUGAAGUGCGUAACCGCAAGGAGCGCCCUAGGGUAAAACUGGUGACUGGGGCUAAGUCGUAACAAGGUAGCC